AACUCGGCCAUUUAGAGGAAGUACAAGUCGUAACAAGGUUUCCGUAGGUGAACCUGCGGAAGGAUCAUAGUUAUGGAGAGGUCAGCCUUCACAGGCCCCUCAUCACACUCUGGAUGCAAUGCGCCUCCCCGGGUGCUAGUCUUGGUCCCCUUGGGAUCUUGACAAACCAUUGUAAUCCGUGUCAUGCCUACCUAAAACCGAGAGAUAACACAACCAGUAGCGUUGGAUCCCUUGGCACGUCAUUCGAUGAAGACCGUUGCAAAAUGCGAUAAGUGGUGUGAUAUGCAAGUCCAAAACUUAUACGUGAACCAUCGAAUUGUUGAACGCACUGCAUCGAGCCUUAUCCAGGAACGAUACGCCCCAUUGAGCGUCAUUAUGUCUUUGCGACUUGUCACUCUAUGUGGCCUGUCCAGGUUCGGGAUUCACGACCCUACGUGUCGCGCUUCCUCAGAUGUAUGGUUGCACCGACGCCCACGGGUGACCUUGUCAUAAAUGUCGAGGUCCGCCUGCAAGCGUCAAGUGCAAGAUCCUCUGCUGUGUUCACUGGAUCAAAUGUGUCCGCUCCGGCGGAUGCGGCUUCUUGACAUGACCUCACGGGGGUGGGACGACCCGCUAGACUUAAGCAUAUUAAUCAGCGGAGGAAAAGAAACUAACAAGGAUUCCCCUAGUAAC
rnacentral:rRNA from 1 species